rnacentral:rRNA from 1 species
CUACGGGCGGCUGCAGUAAGGAAUAUUGGGCAAUGGGCGCAAGCCUGACCCAGCCAUGCCGCGUGCAGGAAGACAGCCUUAUGGGUUGUAAACUGCUUUUGUCAGGGAAUAAACCCUCGUACGCGUACGGGGCUGAAUGUACCUGAAGAAUAAGCAUCGGCUAACUCCGUGCCAGCAGCCGCGGUAAUACGGAGGAUGCAAGCGUUAUCCGGAUUCAUUGGGUUUAAAGGGUGCGCAGGCGGGCUAUUAAGUCAGGGGUGAAAUCCUACGGCUCAACCGUGGAACUGCCUUGGAUACUGAUAGUCUUGAAUUUAGUUGAAGUGGGCGGAAUGUAGCAUGUAGCGGUGAAAUGCAUAGAUAUGCUACAGAACACCGAUAGCGAAGGCAGCUCACUAAGUUAAAAUUGACGCUCAUGCACGAAAGCGUGGGGAUCAAACAGGAUUAGAUACCCCAGUAGUC